AUUGAACGCUGGCGGCAGGCCUAACACAUGCAAGUCGAACGAGUGGCGGACGGGUGAGUAAUGUCUGGGAAACUGCCUGAUGGAGGGGGAUAACUACUGGAAACGGUAGCUAAUACCGCAUAACAUCAGAUGUGCCCAGAUGGGAUUAGCUAGUUGGUGGGGUAAGGGCUCACCAAGGCGACGAUCCCUAGCUGGUCUGAGAGGAUGACCCGCCCCCCUGGACCUGAGACACGGUCCAUACUCCUACGGGAGGCAGCAUUGGGGAAUAUUGCACAAUGGGCGCAGUCCUGAUGCAGCCCUGCCGCGUGUAUGAAGAAGGCCUUCGGGUUGUAAUGUACUUUCAGCGGGGAGGCGUUACCCGCAGAAGAAGCACCGGCUAACUCCGUGCCAGCAGCCGCGGUAAUUC
rnacentral:rRNA from 1 species